ACAAACAUAUACACAGAAGGACUUCCCUCAUCAUAAAUAUUUUUACGUUAAUUUUUUCUAAGCAGAAGCAGGUGGAUCUCUGUGAGUCUAUAGAGUGAGACCCUGUCUGAAAAAAAAAGUUAAUUAUGAAUUCUGAACCCAUCACCCAGCUCGCAAACUCCAAUGGUCCCAACACCCUUUUCUGAUCUAUACGCACGCAGGCACGCACGCAGGCUCGCACGCACGCACGCACGCACGCACGCAGGCACGCACGCACGCAUGGGCUUCCAACUUGGUGGUUGAAAGAGUCCACUUCCAGCGUUAGGAGGGUGGGACAAUCAUGUAAAAUACAGAAAACUUUUCCAGAAGGUUCCAUCUAUUUAACAGAAUUUUAGCUGCCCACUAGAGAGCUCUGCUGUUCACUUCACAACUGCUGCUCAGAGCCUGGACACACUAGGACAGCAGAGCAGAGUGUACCAGGCUUUCUUUUUGGGGCCACCAACCAGCUCAAGUCACAAUACCGAGACUUAUUAUUAGCUUUGAAUGCUCAGUCUUAGCUCAGAUCCUUUCUGGAUAGCUCUUUUAACUUAAACUAACCCGUUUCUCUUUAUCUACCUUUUACCUUGGGCUGUUCACCUUUCGUACUUCUGGGUACCUAUGUUCACUGCUUCUCCAUGUCUGUCUGUCUUCUGCCCUGGACAUCUCCCUCGUUCUAUUCUUCUUCUUCUCUCAUUCUUUUUUUUUUUUUUUUUUUUUUUCUGAGCCUAGCUUUCUCUUCCCAUUUAUUCUCUUUGUCAGCCAGCCCAGCCUAUACUUUCUCGUGCCUGGUUUUGGCCUUUCAGCUUUUUAUUAGGCCAAUCAGGUGCCUUAGGCGGGCAAAGUGAAACAAAUGCAACACAUCUUUUCAUAAUUAAACAAAUGCAGCAGAAAAAAUGCAACGCAUCUUUGCUCAGUUAAAAUAAUAUUUCACAGCAGCAGAAGCCUGUGAGGAUCUUUGUGGAAGCUGGAAACUAUGGGAAGGACCAUCCUGAGGGUUCAGCUGAGGGCUACACUUGAAACUAUAGACCAGUCUCAGCAUGGUGGUUAGUUUGUCUCAUCCAGUGCUGACUCAGUUGUAACAUGCAAAGAUUGAGAUCCAUAAGCAGCUGAGUUACAUAAAAAUUAGUUAGCUCCUGGUUUGUUUCCUUUUUCAAAUAUUUUUCAUUUAUAUGCUUUUAUAUGUAAUAUAUGUAUAUAUUGUAUAUAUAUUUGGUUCUCUGGAUUUUCCAAAUGCCCUUUGUUUCCCAAACCAUUGCUGAAGUAAUCAGGGAACUGGAAAUGAUACAGAUUAUUACUUCAAAAGACUCCUCACGGCACUCAGAGCCCAGAGGCUGGCAGACCAUGGUCUCAAGACCAGCUGCAAGUUAUAUUGCAACUCAUUAUGCCUAUUUAUUUACAUACUGCCUAAAGUGAUUUCACACAACAGUGAAAUUUUCACACAACGGUGGCUGUGUGGAGUAACUGUGAUGGAGACUGUAUGAUUCACAAGUCAGAAAUACACAUUUCCUAGAUGGAUUUCAAAAACAAUUCAGAGAACAGAAACGUGUCCAUGAAAUAUCAGCAUGUAUCAAGCUAUAAAUGUGUCAUUUAGUGGCAUCCAGAGGUGGUAAAACUGUAAAGAAAAUAGAUGGAAUAAGAACCACAGACUUCGACAGAAUUUCUAAAAGAUAGGGGCUGGGAGUAUUGCUUGAAAAUGGGAUAAUGAAGGAGCUUCAAGUGAUACGUAAGACUUAAAUUAUUCUUGGGGGCUGGAGAGAUGGCUCAGUGGUAAAUUGUGCACUCUGUAAGCCUGAGGACCUGAGUUUAGAUCCCCAGCAACUACAUAAAAACUGGGCAUGGAAACACAUGCCUGUCAUCCCAGUGCUGAGAGACUGUGGGGACAGGAGUUUCCCUGGGAGUUGUCACCUUGUCUCAUCAGUCACUGAGCUCCAGGUUCAGUGAGACUCCAUCUCAAAAAAUGCAGUGAAGAGAAAUAAAAGACACCCAACCUUCAGCCUCCAUAUACACAUGUGAACUCAUGUACCUGACAUACAUACACUGGGACAUACAGAGCUUAUGUGUAGAACAAGUGCAGACUGCUAUUCUGUGGUCUCAGACUUUGACCAGGGCAUAAGUAUUGGGUAGACAUAAAAUGAAUGUUUUGGGGGGAAAAAGAAGAAUGAGGAGGUUAAUUUUGGGCAGUUGAGAUGGCUCCAGGAGUGAAGGCAUUUUGCCAUCAAGCCCCAUGGCCUAGGUUAAAUCCCCAGGGUAUUCAUGCAGGAAGGCAAGAACAAUUCCCACAAGUUGUUGCUGACCUCCACACAUGCAUGUUGUAGCACAUGCACUCCCACACAUGCACAUAGGCACACAUACACAUAAGAAAUAAAUAUUUUUUUAGAAGGUCACUGUUGCAGGAUCCUGACGGGCAUCCCGUGACAUUGGAGGAAAGUAGGUGUGGCACCAAUACAGGCAUUGGGAACAACAAGCUCAGUUUAUCCCAGGGAGGGGAGAGUUUUAUAUACCCCUCAACCUGCCCCAGGGGAGGAGCUGGCAUCUGCUGAUGUGACUUGGUCACUGUCCAAAGUCCACGUCAUCUCUCAUCAGACUCGGCUGCUGUUGUCAAGGCCAACUGGCAGACCCAGGCUGGGGGUCAGGAAAUACCAACUGCGAAUGCUCUAGGCCAGCUGUCAGGCCCAUUGAGGCUUAGUUUUCCCACAGUUCACCUCUAUAUGUUAUUAGAAAACUGACCUGUGGAUGUUAGUUGGGUGCUUUGAUCAUCUGUGUGACCAGUUGUUUGUCUCACACACAGCCCUUGUCCAUAGGAGCAAGCAUGGCAUUCUAAGCAGGUCGUCAGCCUGUGUCCCAGGUCUUCCCCUGGGUUCCGAUCAUCAACCACAUUAAGGCCUGCAGUAGGGUGCAAGGCCAGUUCCACCUGACUGUCAGCUCUGAGCGCCUGAGUCCUUCAGAUACGGAACCAGCAGUCAGUGGAGACAGCUGUCACUCAGGUCCUUUUCAACCCUUGGUUCAAUAAAUGAUCAAAGGACUUAUCAGUGUUGACGUAGCUAAUGACUGUGUUGUGCAUAUAGACUUUCGGUUAAUGCAGUCGGUCAUCUCUUUGACCCUCUCACCAACUGUGCAAAGAAAAGCAGAGAACAGGAGGUGUUAGAAAAGAAAGGCAAGCAGAAGUGUCUCUCGGUGAUACUAGAGCAGGGAGACACCCUUUAUGAGCUCAGUGACUGACUCAGAGUCCGAAAAAAAAAAAAAAAAA